GAAUCAGGAGAGUCCAUCGCGUCACCUGUCGGUCCUGUGACUUAUGUCCCAAGCCUCUCUCUCUAUUAAGUGUGGAAAUCAUCUGUAGCAACUACACCGGUGUAGUGAGCAUUGAGUGGCUGAGAGUCCCUUAGGGCGCGUGUCGAGAUGCUCAUCGUAAUUCAUCGCUUGUUGCAGACGAUGUGGAUUCCUCCACUAGGAAAUAUCUUUUUUCUUUCUUGUGCAAACUAGGCAAGGUCUUCAGAUUUACCCAAAUCAAGUGGAGUGUUUUCAACCGUUAUAUUGCCUACCAGAAAGGAAGAAAAAAAACCGUUAGAUUCCGAUUACCUUCGUGGGCCUCUCUGCUGAGCAUACAAGAAUUGGUAUCUGAUGAAGCGUUUGCUCGCUCUCAUCGCGUAGGGAUUCGAUGUCUGCAGGUUCUUCCCCAGAUCAAAUCAAUGGAAGAUGGACCUAGUGGCAAAACUGUAAACAUUCUGAAACACGGCUCAUGUCCACGGAAGUUCUUGUGAAUUGGAUGAAAUUCUUAUAUGGACCUACAUCUCUGAUGGGGCCGUCGAAAUCAGACUUCUGGCCUUUCGAGUUCAUGCAGUAAAGACUAAGCUUUGGAAUAGAUGUUGAGCCUUCACAGUUGACAUGAGCUGAACCCUGGUUCAGUUUGAGAAAGAUGCCAAUCAAGCAUAUGAUUAGUUCUUCUGAAACUCUGUUUGGCUUCUCUGUAGUCAUUGCUUCAUCCGGAAGAUUCUGUGUUUGGUUUCUUCCAUUGCAUCUUGAAUUUCCUGCAAUUUCAUCUGUUCCUCCGUAUUUCAGGGAUUAGGCUUUCUAAAGGUUCAAUUCCGCAUAUUGUUGAUGAUGAAAUUCAAAAAAAAAAAAAAAAAAAAAAAAUACAUGGCACACCACUUUUUUUAAUGGGUUUGAGGAUAUGGAGGUCAAAAUCAACCUUAUCUUGAGGAUCACAGUCUCGUGAUCCUUUCGCUCUUCACUACUCUGCCAUAUAAGCUCACUUUGAAUUAGAAGAAAUGAUAAUUUUGAUGUUAUAAUCUUCAGCUUGAGAUUUGACAUUCAUGUUUCAGGUGGGUCUGUAUUGAAAUCCUAGUGGUUGUGCCAUGUCUUCUCAUAUUUGGUUUCUGGAUGCUUAUGUACAUGAAUGGCCAAACAAGAACGUUACCAUUCAACCUUGCAGAAGACAUGGCAUGGAUUUCGGAAGCAGAGCCUAGGGAAGCUUUUCUUUCUCUUAUCAUCCUUUGGCCUCCGAAGUCUGGCUUGUAAUGUAGUGGUCCCCGUUGUUCAUGAUGUUCUUCUUCUCUUCCUCUGUGACUUGCUACUCCAGACCAGUAGUGUUUCUGUUGCUUCUGUAGCCACUGUUGCUGCUUUAGUGGCUGCAGCUGAUGUUCUUUGUUCAGUCUCUUUUCUUGAUCCAGACAGAGUCUCAGCUCCUCUACCUUCCUUUCCAGGAAUAUGAUCUCUUCUUCAACCAUUUCCAGUUCUGCAAGAAGCACCUGCACCUGCAUUGGUAUCCCAUUUGUUAUUCUUCCCUCCUAAGGCAAGCAGAUAGGUCAUGGGAUAGUAACAAUUACCUGACGUGGUAGCAGCGACGAAAGUGAUGGACGAGAAACAGCUUGUCCAUGCAAUGCACAUUGAAGAACCCGAUUCAAUUUCUGCUCGUCAUCUAAUUCUGCUUCCAGCAUAGCGACCUGGAGAUUGCAAAAUUGAAAAAUUGAAGAACAAUCGUUUCAUGGAAAGUAUCUACACUUUCAGGAGUAAUAAAUUGAGCAAUGACUAAGAUCUUACCUCCUCUUCUAGAUCGAUUCUUCUCUGCUUAUCUCUGCUCCGGUGCAUUAAGAAAUCUUCAAAUUUCAUAAUGAACCCAGGCAACAGCAGACCACAAGUGGUUCAGAAGUAUGAGAGAAGUAAUGGUGUGUCACUAGAAAAUAUAGAGGUAGUUUAUUGAAGUGUCUCUGGCAUAACCAUGGAAGUGGGUGAAGGAACACUACUGGAGAUGGAAGGAAUCACAGUAUCCAUGAGUCUUGGCGGUGUGUGGGUUUUUUGAACUGUGGAGGGAGGUUGGUUGCCUAGAACUCUAUUGUCAUCACAUGCAGCCAAAGACUACAUUUAUUGAUGAGUGUGCUGAUGACAUGAAACCCAUGAACAAUUUAAACAUUCAACCGCUGGAGGGAGAAAAGGGUUGUUGUGCAGAAGGCCUUAAUAGGUUGUUUUAAAUAAGAAGAGAGAGAAACUUUGGUUCCUUAGGACCCUUAUUUGAUGACAUGUACGUGUCUUCUGGGUUUGGCUUAUCCAACAUCAGAGUGAAAUUCUCUGUUUCCUGCCACCUCUACUGGAAUUUUGAUUCAUAAAUGGAAUUAAUUCCGCUGGCUUGUUACAACAAA